rnacentral:rRNA from 1 species
CAACGCCGCGUGGGUGAAGAAGGCUCUCGGGUCGUAAAGCCCUUUUCUGGGGGACGAAGAACUGACGGUACCCCAGGAAGAAGCCACGGCUAACUACGUGC